rnacentral:rRNA from 1 species
GACGAACGCUGGCGGCGGGCUUAACACAUGCAAGUCGAACGGAAAGGCCCUGCUUUUGUGGGGUGCUCGAGUGGCGAACGGGUGAGUAACACGUGAGUAACCUGCCCUUGACUUUGGGAUAACUUCAGGAAACUGGGGCUAAUACCGGAUAGGAGCUCCUGCUGCAUGGUGGGGGUUGGAAAGUUUCGGCGGUUGGGGAUGGACUCGCGGCUUAUCAGCUUGUUGGUGGGGUAGUGGCUUACCAAGGCUUUGACGGGUAGCCGGCAUGAGAGGGUGACCGGCCACAUUGGGACUGAGAUACGGCCCAGACUCCUACGGGAGGCAGCAGUGGGGAAUAUUGCACAAUGGGCGGAAGCCUGAUGCAGCAACGCCGCGUGCGGGAUGACGGCCUUCGGGUUGUAAACCGCUUUCGCCUGUGACGAAGCGUGAGUGACGGUAAUGGGUAAAGAAGCACCGGCUAACUACGUG